UACAGAGGUCUCAAGCGUUGUUCGGAUUCAUUGGGCGUAAAGGGUGCGUAGGUGGCGUGGUAAGUCGGGUGUGAAAUUUCGGAGCUUAACUCCGAAACUGCAUUCGAUACUGCUGUGCUUGAGGACUGGAGAGGAGACUGGAAUUUACGGUGUAGCAGUGAAAUGCGUAGAGAUCGUAAGGAAGACCAGUGGCGAAGGCGGGUCUCUGGACAGUUCCUGACGCUGAGGCACGAAGGCCAGGGGAGCGAACGGG
rnacentral:rRNA from 1 species